rnacentral:rRNA from 1 species
GCCAGACUCCUACGGGAGGCAGCAGUGGGGGAUAUUGCACAAUGGGGGGAACCCUGAUGCAGCGACGCCGCGUGGGUGAAGGAGCGUUUCGGCGCGUAAAGCCCUAUCGGCAGGGAAGAAGGAGGACGGUACCUGACUAAGAAGCCCCGGCUAACUACGUGCCAGCAGCCGCGGUAAUACGUAGGGGGCAAGCGUUAUCCGGAUUUACUGGGUGUAAAGGGGGCGCAGACGGCAGCGCAAGCCAGGAGUGAAAGCCCGGGGCCCAACCCCGGGACUGCUCUUGGAACUGCGCGGCUGGAGUGCAGGAGGGGCAGGCGGAAUUCCUGGUGUAGCGGUGAAAUGCGUAGAUAUCAGGAGGAACACCGGUGGCGAAGGCGGCCUGCUGAACUGCGACUGACGUUGAGGCCCGAAAGCGUGGGGAGCAAACAGGAUUAGAUACCCCCGUACC